UACGAAGGGGGCUAGCGUUGCUCGGAAUCACUGGGCGUAAAGGGUGCGUAGGCGGGUCUUUAAGUCAGGGGUGAAAUCCGUGGAGCUCAACGUCCAGAACUGCCUUCGAUACUGAGAGUCUCGAGUCCGGAGAGGUGAGUGGGAACUGCGAGUGUAGAGGUGAAAUUCGUAGAUAUUCGCAAGAACACCAGUGGCGAAGGCGGACUCACUGGCC
rnacentral:rRNA from 1 species